AGGGAAGCGAGAUGGUGACAUGGAGCGAAUCCCAAAAAUAAACGUCUCAGUUCGGAUUGUAGUCUGCAACUCGACUGCGUGAAGGUGGAGUCGCUAGUAAUCGCGGAUCAGCAACGCCGCGGUGAAUGCGUUCCCGGGCCUUGUACACACCGCCCGUCAAGUCAUGAAAGUGGGCAGCACCCGAAGACGGUGGCCUAACCCUUGUGGGGGGAGCCGUCUAAGGUGAGGCUCGUGAUUGGGACUAAGUCGUAACAAGGUAUC
rnacentral:rRNA from 1 species